rnacentral:lncRNA from 1 species
GACUAUGGAUCUUCGAAAGCAUCCUCCUUUCUCAACAUUUACUGAACAACAAGCAGACCCAACAAAUAAAAAUCGAACCUUUACUUCAAAUAUCUUCAAGUAUCAACGAUCUAGACAAAACCAAAGUGAGCUAGGGUUCAGACAAAUCCAGAUGAAAAGAUUUUGAUUUGAGGGUAAGUGAAGAUCUAGAAGUGGAAUUGUUG